rnacentral:rRNA from 1 species
AUUGAACGCUGGCGGCAUGCCUUACACAUGCAAGUCGAACGGUAACAGGUCUUCGGAUGCUGACGAGUGGCGAACGGGUGAGUAAUGCAUCGGAACGUGCCCAGUAGUGGGGGAUAGCCCGGCGAAAGCCGGAUUAAUACCGCAUACGACCUGAGGGGGAAAGGGGGGGAUCGCAAGACCUCUCGAUAUUGGAGCGGCCGAUGUCAGAUUAGCUAGUUGGUGGGGUAAAGGCCUACCAAGGCAACGAUCUGUAGUUGGUCUGAGAGGACGACCAGCCACACUGGGACUGAGACACGGCCCAGACUCCUACGGGAGGCAGCAGUGGGGAAUUUUGGACAAUGGGCGCAAGCCUGAUCCAGCAAUGCCGCGUGCAGGAAGAAGGCCUUCGGGUUGUAAACUGCUUUUGUCAGGGAAGAAAUCUUCUGGGUUAAUACCUCGGGAGGAUGACGGUACCUGAAGAAUAAGCACCGGCUAACUACGUGCCAGCAGCCGCCGUAA